GACGAACGCUGGCGGCGUGCCUAAUACAUGCAAGUAGAACGCUGAAGAGAGGAGCUUGCUCUUCUUGGAUGAGUUGCGAACGGGUGAGUAACGCGUAGGUAACCUGCCUUGUAGCGGGGGAUAACUAUUGGAAACGAUAGCUAAUACCGCAUAACAAUGGAUGACACAUGUCAUUUAUUUGAAAGGGGCAAUUGCUCCACUACAAGAUGGACCUGCGUUGUAUUAGCUAGUAGGUGAGGUAAUGGCUCACCUAGGCGACGAUACAUAGCCGACCUGAGAGGGUGGUCGGCCACACUGGGACUGAGACACGGCCCAGACUCCUACGGGAGGCAGCAGUAGGGAAUCUUCGGCAAUGGGGGCAACCCUGACCGAGCAACGCCGCGUGAGUGAAGAAGAUUUUCGGAUCGUAAAGCUCUGUUGUAAGUCAAGAACGGGUGUGAGAGUGGAAAGUUCACACUGUGACGGUAGCUUACCAGAAAGGGACGGCUAACUACGUG
rnacentral:rRNA from 1 species